rnacentral:snRNA from 14 species
UCGUAUUAAAUCAAUCUCUCAGGGCCUCGAUAGAGACCCAGAAUCCAGUUUUUGGAGGUCUUCCACACUUGGGAGGUUA